CAGUCGAGCGAAGCGGUUUUGAGGAAGUUUUCGGACGAAAUCAUAACUGACUGAGCGGCGGACGGGUGAGUAACGCGUGGGUAACCUGCCUCAUACAGGGGGAUAACAGUUAGAAAUGACUGCUAAUACCGCAUAAGCGCACAGCUUCGCAUGAAGCAGUGUGAAAAACUCCGGUGGUAUGAGAUGGACCCGCGUCUGAUUAGCUAGUUGGUAAGGUAACGGCUUACCAAGGCGACGAUCAGUAGCCGACCUGAGAGGGUGACCGGCCACAUUGGGACUGAGACACGGCCCAAACUCCUACGGGAGGCAGCAGUGGGGAAUAUUGCACAAUGGGGGAAACCCUGAUGCAGCGACGCCGCGUGAGUGAAGAAGUAUCUCGGUAUGUAAAGCUCUAUCAGCAGGGAAGAAAAUGACGGUACCUGACUAAGAAGCCCCGGCUAACUACGUGCCAGCAGCCGCGGUAAUACGUAGGGGGCAAGCGUUAUCCGGAUUUACUGGGUGUAAAGGGAGCGUAGACGGCGGAGCAAGUCUGAAGUGAAAGCCCGGGGCUCAACCCCGGGACUGCUUUGGAAACUGUUCUGCUAGAGUGCUGGAGAGGUAAGUGGAAUUCCUAGUGUAGCGGUGAAAUGCGUAGAUAUUAGGAGGAACACCAGUGGCGAAGGCGGCUUGCUGGACAGUAACUGACGUUGAGGCUCGAAAGCGUGGGGAGCAAACAGGAUUAGAUACCCUGGUAGUCCACGCCGUANACGAUGAAUGCUAGGUGUUGGAGGGNAAAGCCCUUCGGUGCCGCCGCAAACGCAAUAAGCAUUCCACCUGGGGAGUACGUUCGC
rnacentral:rRNA from 1 species